GUGCCAGCCGCCGCGGUAAUACGGAGGGUGCAAGCGUUGUUCGGAAUCACUGGGCGUAAAGCGCGUGUAGGCGGCUAUCUAAGUCUGAUGUGAAAGCCCUGGGCUCAACUCAGGAAGUGCAUUGGAUACUGGAUAGCUGGAGUACCGGAGAGGAGGGUGGAAUUCCUGGUGUAGCGGUGAAAUGCGUAGAUAUCAGGAGGAACACCGGUGGCGAAGGCGUCCCUCUGGCCGGAUACUGACGCUGAGACGCGAAAGCGUGGGGAGCAAACAGGAUUAGAUACCCUAGUAGUCC
rnacentral:rRNA from 1 species